UGUAAAAUUUUAAAGGUCGAACAGACCUAAUAUUUUAGCUUCUACACCAAAAAUUAAUUUUAAUCCAACAUCGAGGUCGCAAUCUCUUUUUUUAAUAUGAACUUUCUAAAAAAAUUACGCUGUUAUCCCUAAGGUAAUUUUAUCUUAUAAUCAAAAUUAUUGGRUCAUUUAUUCAUAAAUUAAUGUAUAAAAAUAAAAAAAGUUCAAUAAAUUUUUCAAUCACCCCAAUUAAAUUUUUAAAUAAACUAAAUAUAUUAAUGCUAAAAAAAUUUUUUUAUUUAAAAAUUAAACUCUAUAGGGUCUUCUCGUCUUUUAAUGAUAAUUAAGCUUUUUAACUUAAAAAUAAAAUUCUAAUAAAAUUCAACAGAGACAGUUAUUUUCUUAUCCAACCCUUCAUUCCAGUUCUUAAUUAAAGAACUAAUGAUUAUGCUACCUUAGCACGGUCAAAAUACCACGGCCAUUUAAAAAUUCAGGGGGCAGGCUAGACCUUAAAUUAUUACACAAAAGGAC
rnacentral:rRNA from 1 species